UAGUCGAGUGACUCAGGCAAAACGAGUCACGGCGCACAGCUCAGUAACACGUGGCUAAUCUGCCCUUGAGACGAGAAUAACCCCGGGAAACUGGGGCUAACUCUCGAUAGGCGAAGAACUCUGGAAUGAGUCUUCACCCAAAAAGCUUCACGUUAUCCUCGUGAAGUCGCUCAAGGAUGAGGCCGCGACCGAUCAGGUUGUUGGUGAGGUAAUGGCUCACCAAGCCUUUUACCGGUGCGGGCCGUGGGAGCGGGAGCCCGGAGAUGGGUACUGAGACAAGGACCCAGGCCCUACGGGGCGCAGCAGUCGCGAAAACUUUGCAAUACACGAAAGUGUGACAGGGCUAUCCCGAGUGCCAUCCGCUGAGGAAGGCUUUUACCCAGUCUAGAACGCUGGGGGAAUAAGGAGAGGGCAAGUCUGGUGUCAGCCGCCGCGGUAAUACCAGCUCUCCGAGUGGUGUGGAUGUUUAUUGGGCCUAAAGCAUCCGUAGCUGGCUAAGUUAGUCCCCUGUUAAAUCCACCGAAUUAAUCGUUGGAUUGCGGGGGAUACUGCUUGGCUAGGGGACGAGAGAGGCAGACGGUAUUUUCGGGGUAGGGGUGAAAUCCUAUAAUCCCGGGAAGACCACCAGUGGCGAAGGCUGUCUGCUAGAACGCGCCCGACGGUGAGGGAUGAAAGCUGGGGGAGCGAACCGGAUUAGAUACCCGGGUAGUCCCAGCUGUAAACGAUGCAGACUCGGUGAUGAGUUGGCUUAUUGCUAACUCAGUGCCGCAGGGAAGCCGUUAAGUUUGCCGCCUGGGGAGUACGGUCGCAGAGACUGAAACUAAAGGAAUGGCGGG
rnacentral:rRNA from 1 species